AUUUGGGGCCUGCCUAUGAGCAAUUCUGUGUAUGCAGAACUCAGGGCAUCCUCCAGAGGUCUCUCUAGAGCAGUGAUCCUCAAACAGGGAACUUGUCAGGAAUGCAGAUUCUCAGGCCCUGCCCCAGAUCUGCUGACUCAGCCAUGCCUGGGGUGGGUCCCAGCAAUCUGUAUUUUCACGAGCCCUCCUGGGGAGUCUAACUCGUGAUUGAGAAUUACUGCUCGCCAGAAGGUUCUGUCUCCUCUCUGCCUCCAUAGGCUUUCCCAAGCUGAGUUGGAUCACCAACAGCUGUGCCUGUUUUGCCCUGGCCAAAACCUGAACCACGGGGCUUCUCUCUGGGUAAGACACUGCCUUUCCUGCUCCCAGACUGGAAUCAUCUUGGAAUGGAACCAUACCAUGGGCUUUCCUGUGUCUCCAGCUUCUCAAUGAUGGAUCUCAGGACUGUCUCAGCCUCCAUAAUCAUGAAAACAGAUGUGGGGCGUGAGGAGGGCCAUGUCCCAGGUCUUGGUUGAUCCC